GAGUAAUCAAAUAUAACAGGACUUGCAUAUUUCCUGGGCUCUGUGUUUCACUUUAAAGGGUUUAUAGAAUGCAAAACCGUGUUAACCUUGGCAUAGUUGAUUAACAGCAGUUACAGCAGGUUACAUAGCACAUAUGAUGAUGGUAUAAGAGCAGGUUGCAUAGCACAGAUCAUGUGGUAUAAGAGUACAGCAGGUUCAUAUCAUGAUGGCAUAAGAGCAGCAGGUUCAUAUCAUGCUGGCAUAAGAGCAGGUUCAUAUCAUGAUGUUAUAAGAGCAGCUACAGCAGGUUCAUAUCAUGCUGGCAUAAGAGCAGCAGGUUCAUAUCAUUAUGGCAUAAGAGCAGCAGGUUCAUAUCAUUAUGGCAUAAGAGCAGCAGGUUCAUAUCAUGAUGGCAUAAGAGCAGCAGGUUCAUAUCAUGAGGGCAUAAGAGCAGGUUCAUAUCAUGAUGUUAUAAGAGCAGCUACAGCAGGUUCAUAUCAUGAUGGCAUAAGAGCAGCAGGUUCAUAUCAUUAUGGCAUAAGAGCAGCAGGUUCAUAUCAUGGUGGCAUAAGAGCAGCAGGUUCAUAUCAUGAUGGUAUAAGAGCAGCUACAGCAGGUUCAUAUCAUGAUGGCAUAAGAGCAGCAGGUUCAUAUCAUUAUGGCAUAAGAGCAGCAGGUUCAUAUCAUGGUGGCAUAAGAGCAGCAGGUUCAUAUCAUGGUGGCAUAAGAGCAGGUUCAUAUCAUGAUGGUAUAAGAGCAGCUACAGCAGGUUCAUAUCAUGAUGGCAUUAAAGCAGCAGGUUCAUAUCAUGAUAAGAGCAGCAGGUUCAUAUCAUGAUGGCAUAAGAGCAGGUUCAUAUCAUGAUGGUAUAAGAGCAGCUACAGCAGGUUCAUAUCAUGAUGGCAUUAAAGCAGCAGGUUCAUAUCAUGAUGGCAUUAGAGCAGCA